rnacentral:rRNA from 1 species
GACGAACGCUGGCGGCGUGCCUAAUACAUGCAAGUUGAGCGAUGAAGAUUGGUGCUUGCACCAAUUUGAAGAGCAGCGAACGGGUGAGUAACGCGUGGGUAAUCUGCCUUUGAGCGGGGGACAACAUUUGGAAACGAAUGCUAAUACCGCAUAACAACUUUAAACAUAAGUUUUAAGUUUGAAAGAUGCAAUUGCAUCACUCAAAGAUGAUCCCGCGUUGUAUUAGCUAGUUGGUGAGGUAAAGGCUCACCAAGGCGAUGAUACAUAGCCGACCUGAGAGGGUGAUCGGCCACAUUGGGACUGAGACACGGCCCAAACUCCUACGGGAGGCAGCAGUAGGGAAUCUUCGGCAAUGGACGAAAGUCUGACCGAGCAACGCCGCGUGAGUGAAGAAGGUUUUCGGAUCGUAAAACUCUGUUGGUAGAGAAGAACGUUGGUGAGAGUGGAAAGCUCAUCAAGUGACGGUAACUACCCAGAAAGGGACGGCUAACUACGUG